CCUCUCUCGACUCCACUUCAUCAUACUCAGUGUGUGGUUGGUGUAUUUUCAGAGAGAGAGGCAGGCCCUCCUAAUGCACUUCAGACCAGCCCGAGUGGCCUCUGUUCCUAGGAUUACAACAGCU
ensembl:snoRNA